UCCUUAUCAAGAGCGGCUGAGGGAUCAGGCCCUGUGAAGCCCGGCAACCUGCCUUGUGUAUAGGCAAGGUGCUAAGUCCUGCGGUGUGAUAGCCGGAAGAUGAGGC
rfam:Eubacteriaceae bacterium CHKCI005 isolate CHKC5 genome assembly, contig: {contig7}